UACGUAGGGUGCGAGCGUUGUCCGGAAUUACUGGGCGAAAGAGCUCGUAGGUGGUUUGUCGCGUUGUUCGUGAAAACCGGGGGCUUAACCCUCGGCGUGCGGGCGAUACGGGCAGACUUGAGUACUGCAGGGGGAGACUGGAAUUCCUGGUGUAGCGGUGGAAUGCGCAGAUAUCAGGAGGAACACCGGUGGCGAAGGCGGGUCUCUGGGCAGUAAACUGACGUGGAGGUGCGGAAAGCGUGGGGAGCAAACAGG
rnacentral:rRNA from 1 species